UACGUAGGGGGCUAGCGUUGUCCGGAAUCAUUGGGCGUAAAGCGCGCGUAGGCGGCCCGGUAAGUCCGUUGUGAAAGUCAAAGGCUCAACCUUUGAAAGCCGAUGGAUACUGCCGGGCUGGAGUCCGGAAGAGGCGAGUGGAAUUCCUGGUGUAGCGGUGGAAUGCGCAGAUAUCAGGAGGAAUACCGAUGGCGAAGGCAGGUCUCUGGGCUGACACUGACGCUCAUGCACGAAAGCGUGGGGAGCAAACAGG
rnacentral:rRNA from 1 species